rnacentral:rRNA from 1 species
GAUCAUGGCUCAGGAUGAACGCUGGCGGCGUGCCUAACACAUGCAAGUCGAGCGGGAAAUCCGUGACGGAUCCUUCGGGUGACGGAUCGGAUGGAGAGCGGCGGACGGGUGAGUAACGCGUAGGUAACCUGCCCUGUACAGAGGGAUAGCCACUGGAAACGGUGAUUAAUACCUCAUAAUGCCGGAUCUGCACAUGCAGGACCGGUCAAAGUUUUUUCGGUACAGGAUGGACCUGCGU